UACGGGGGGGGCAAGCGUUGUUCGGAAUUACUGGGCGUAAAGGGCUCGUAGGCGGCCAACUAAGUCAUACGUGAAAUCCCUCAGCUUAACUGGGGAACUGCGUGUGAUACUGGAUGGCUUGGAUUUGGGAGAGGGAUGCGGAAUUCCAGGUGUAGCGGUGAAAUGCGCAGAUAUCGGGAAGAACACCUAUGGCGAAGGCAGCUCUCUGGGACGGUACUGACGCUGAGACGCGAAAGCGUGGGGAGCGAACAGG
rnacentral:rRNA from 1 species